rnacentral:rRNA from 1 species
AUUGAACGCUGGCGGAAUGCUUUACACAUGCAAGUCGAACGGCAGCACGGACUUCGGUCUGGUGGCGAGUGGCGAACGGGUGAGUAAUACAUCGGAACGUGCCCAGUCGUGGGGGAUAACGUAGCGAAAGCUACGCUAAUACCGCAUACGAUCUAAGGAUGAAAGCGGGGGACCGUAAGGCCUCGCGCGAUUGGAGCGGCCGAUGGCAGAUUAGGUAGUUGGUGGGGUAAAGGCUCACCAAGCCGACGAUCUGUAGCUGGUCUGAGAGGACGACAAGCCACACUGGGACUGAGACACGGCCCAGACUCCUACGGGAGGCAGCAGUGGGGAAUUUUGGACAAUGGGGGAAACCCUGAUCCAGCCAUUCCGCGUGUGCGAUGAAGGCCUUCGGGUUGUAAAGCACUGUUGGCAGGAAAGAAAUCGCAUCAAUUAAUACUUGGUGUGGAUGACGGUACCUGCAGAAUAAGCACCGGCUAACUACGUGCCAGCAGCCGCCGUAA